rnacentral:rRNA from 1 species
UAGGGAAUCUUCGGCAAUGGACGAAAGUCUGACCGAGCAACGCCGCGUGAGUGAAGAAGGUUUUCGGAUCGUAAAACUCUGUUGUUAGAGAAGAACAAGGACGUUAGUAACUGAACGUCCCCUGACGGUAUCUAACCAGAAAGCCACGGCUAACUACGUGCCAGCAGCCGCGGUAAUACGCAGGUGGCAAGCGUUGUCCGGAUUUAUUGGGCGUAAAGCGAGCGCAGGCGGUUUCUUAAGUCUGAUGUGAAAGCCCCCGGCUCAACCGGGGAGGGUCAUUGGAAACUGGGAGACUUGAGUGCAGAAGAGGAGAGUGCAAUUCCAUGUGUAGCGGUGAAAUGCGUAGAUAUAUGGAGGAACACCAGAGGCGAGGGCGGCUCUCUGGUCUGUAACUGACGCUGAGGCUCGAAAGCGUGGGGAGCAAACAGG